rnacentral:rRNA from 1 species
UACGAAGGGGGCUAGCGUUGCUCGGAAUCACUGGGCGUAAAGGGCGCGUAGGCGGCCGUUCAAGUCGGGGGUGAAAGCCUGUGGCUCAACCACAGAAUUGCCUUCGAUACUGUACGGCUCGAGACCGGAAGAGGUGAGUGGAACUGCGAGUGUAGAGGUGAAAUUCGUAGAUAUUCGCAAGAACACCAGUGGCGAAGGCGGCUCACUGGUCCGGUUCUGACGCUGAGGCGCGAAAGCGUGGGGAGCAAACAGG